UUGACAAAUAAAAUUGUUUUUUUACAAAGGAGUGGAUAAUAUUAAACAUGGUUCUUUUUCUUCUUUUUUUUCUGAGCUUUGAGUAUAGAAACUCAGACAGAGAAAAAUUAAUGGAAACUAAUAUUUUCAUAUAUAUUUCAAAUAUUUUUACAUAAUUUUCUCUCAUCCUUCUUUCAUCUUCAUGUAAGAAGUAACCAUGCAUGUAAAAAUAUAUUAAAAAAAAAUUGCUCCCCAAAACUAGUAUACUAUAUAGAGAAAAAAGAGAGGCUAUACAACCUCUCCAAGUGUGUCUGGUGUUGUGCUCAAUUGAUGUGGUGCUUGAUAGGAGAUUCCGAUGACGUAAGGAAGCAAACAAAGAGGUGAUGUAGGAGUUCCUUUACGGAUGAACAAAUUUCAUGGUAUAUAUCAUUGUGGUUCUUGUUUUGAUGUACGCUUUAAAUUGUUAGGUUUUUAUAUAUAUUCUCUUAUUGUAAUGUAAUUCUUUAUGAAUUUAUCACAUAUGUAUUAUUUAGAGUUUUAAUAAAAUUGUUUUUUUGCAGAUAAAAAAAGAAAAAGAAAAGAGAGGCUAUACGCAGAUUAUUCGAACAAAUAAAUAAGAGCAAAGGUACCCUCCACCAGCUGAGAAGCUUAUCACACAGGGUAUUCACUAUUCAGUGAUGCAUGCAUGAAAUUAUCUUCUUUUUUUGUCUUUUGACAAGGAACCAGAUAGACGACAGUCAAUAAUAAUAUGUAGCUACCUAUAGCAUAUAUAUAUGCGUGACUGCGUGUACAUGUAAGAUUGAGAUCUUCACGAAAUGUCAAAGAAUUAUAUAUAGUAGUAAAAUAAUUAUCCGUAGGACUAAAUUUAAUUUUUCUCCUAUAUAUUUACGUAAUAUGAAUAUGUAAAAAACGUUAUGGCAGUAAAAUCACAGUUUCCACUCGAUUGAAGAUUUUAAAUGGGCC
rnacentral:lncRNA from 1 species